UACAGAGGGUGCGAGCGUUAAUCGGAAUUACUGGGCGUAAAGCGCGCGUAGGCGGCUUUGUAAGUCGGUUGUGAAAUCCCCGGGCUUAACCUGGGAACUGCAUCCGAGACUGCAUAGUUAGAGUAUGGGAGAGGGAAGUGGAAUUUCAGGUGUAGCGGUGAAAUGCGUAGAUAUCUGAAGGAACAUCAGUGGCGAAAGCGACUUCCUGGACCAAUACUGACGCUCAUGUGCGAAAGCGUGGGGAGCAAACAGG
rnacentral:rRNA from 1 species